AAAAAUUUUAAUUUACUAAAAAAAUUAAACAUCUCAUACCUGGUUAUAUAUGUGGCAGUGUACGAAUCGUUGUGCUCGGGGUAAACCAUGUCGUUCAAUUUUGCCGCAUGCUCGAUUGUCGCCUCCGUACUUGUCGCGUCCAAUUUGAUCGCAGAAUCCACCUUCGCGCUUCUUUCUCUUCCUCCCGUUCUCCCUGUUUCUAGCAGAGCACAACUCCUCUCGCUCCCUCUCGCGCCAUGCCCUCGUUCUCUCUCGUGCCCUGCUCCCGCUCCCGCUCGAGCUCUCCUCUCUCUCUCGAUUGCUCGCUCGCUCACCUCUCUCUCUUUAGCUCGCUGCCUCGCUCGCUCGCCUCUCUCUCUCACGCUACCGCGCUCGCCUCUCUCUCUCUUUAGCACGCUGGCGCCAAAAUUUA
rnacentral:lncRNA from 1 species